rnacentral:ncRNA from 1 species
CACGUGUAAUUCUGUCUGAACAUAGGGGGACCACCCUCUAAGCCUAAAUACUCGUAUGCGACCGAUAGUGAACUAGUACCGUGAGGGAAAGGUGAAAAGCACCCCGAUGAGGGGAGUGAAACAGUACCUGAAACGGAUUGCCUACAAGCAGUGGGAGCCUCUUUAUGGGGUGACCGCGUACCUCUUGCAUAAUGGGUCUGUGACUUAAUGUAUCAAGCAAGCUUAAGCCGAUAGGUGUAGGCGCAGCGAAAGCGAGUCUG